GACAUACUCACUUAAUUAGAAAUUAAAAUAAUCUUUUCAUGCACAUACACAGUGUGAUUCGCAGAACCCUAUUUUAUCUGUCAUGUUAUCUCCAGAUGAAGAACUGCUGUCAUUAGUUAGAUGGCUGCGCUUCAGAAGAAAUGAGUGGGCAAUCGCUAAUUGCAGCUCAAGGCUGUAUUUUCUCACUGCCACCCUGUUAUGUAGGAGAUGGAAGAGAGAAACUGUGUCACCAUCAAAACUGUCAUCACUGCUCCAGUGCUGACGAUUUCUGUGCCCAGGGAAAAGCCACGGAGGGGAGAGAUGGGAGAAGAGCAGCAGGAAAACAGCAUAAAAAGGGAAAUGCAGGGGUGUGAGUCUGUCCAUCUGAAGCUCUCCAGCGUAUAUCAAGGGUCACUCCACAGAAAUGAGCACACUGCUGAUGUAAAAGAGGCAUGAGAGAUAUACCAAGCCCAUUGUUCUGGCCACCUUAGAAGAAGAAUCUGUUAUGAAUAGUCAUCAGGUGCAGCAUCUUGGACACCUGAGGGUACCUUGAACAGUGCUAUACGUCCAUGCUUCUACAAGUGGAAUGUGGCCAGCAAGUCUAUGCAUUAGGGUCUGGACACACCACAAAGAGGGAACAAAGUGGAUAAUGGCCUGUUUGCUGACCACAUGUGUAAUCUUAGGCUUUCCCCUGCCUAGUAUUGCUGGGUGGUCAAAGUGGUUUCUUUUUCCGUUUGCUGUAUUGGGCUAGAAAACGUCUCUACAGGCUGCCUGCCAACAGAGCUUGAUAAACCAUGGACAAGCUAUUGCUUCUAACCACAUAUCCCUACAGCAGAUCAAACCAAUUCUCUCAAACCUCUCUGCCAUGUUCCUCCAUCCGCCUCAUUCACUUAAUAGCACUUUGAAAACAUUACAAGUUUCACAUCUUCCUGCUCAUAAAGCACAAUAAAAAGAAUCGUACCUAUCGCCCAACAACCACGGCUGAGUCCUGGUUAUUCCCG